rnacentral:rRNA from 1 species
CCCUUAGAUGUUCUGGGCUGCACGCGCGCUACAAUGAUAUAGAGAAAAAGUAUGGUUCGGUUUUGGCAAAAACUGGUAAUCAGGAGUUGCUAUCGUAGCUGGAAUCGACAAUUGCAAUUAUUGGUCGUCAACGAGGAAUUCCUAGUAAGCGUAAGUCAUCAAGUUGCGCUGACUACGUCCCUGCCCUUUGUACACACCGCCCGUCGCUCCUACCGAUUGAAUGGUCCGGUGAAGCGUUCGGACCGUGGCCUUUGGACGGUUCGCCGUCUGUUGGCUGCGGGAAGUUCGUUAAACCUUAUCAUUUAGAGGAAGGAGAAGUCGUANCA